CCCUUAGAUGUCCUGGGCCGCACGCGCGCUACACUGAUGCAUUCAACGAGUAUUUCCUUGGCCGAGAGGCCUGGGCAAUCUUUUAAACCUGCAUCGUGAUAGGGAUAGAUUAUUGCAAUUAUUAAUCUUGAACGAGGAAUUCCUAGUAAACGCAAAUCAUCAAUUUGCAUUGAUUACGUCCCUGCCCUUUGUACACACCGCCCGUCGCACCUACCGAUUGAAUGGUCCGGUGAAAUCUCGGGAUUGUGGCCGGUUCACUUUAUUGGGAGUUGGCUGCGAGAACUUGCUUAAACCUUAUCAUUUAGAGGAAGGUGAAGUCGUAACA
rnacentral:rRNA from 1 species